rnacentral:misc_RNA from 1 species
GAAAUGCGAUAAGUAAUGUGAAUUGCAGAAUUCAGUGAAUCAUCGAAUCUUUGAACGCACAUUGCGCCCUCUGGUAUUCCGGGGGGCAUGCCUGUUCGAGCGUCAUUUAAACCAAUCACGCAAGUGGUAUUGGGGAUUGCCAUCGGCAUCUCUUAAAAGUAGUGGCAGUGCUAUAGGCUCUCAGCGCAGUAAUUAUUUCGCUUUUGAACCCUAAAAACACCCGCCAAAACCCAAAUUUUUCAAGGUUGACCUCGGAUCAGGUAGGGAUACCCGCUGAACUUAA